rnacentral:rRNA from 1 species
GACGAACGCUGGCGGCGUGCCUAAUACAUGCAAGUCGAACGCAGUGGGGACGGGUGAGUAACACGUGGGUAACCUCCCAUCAGAGGGGAUAACACUUGGAAAAAGGUGCUAAACCGAUACUGAUGGAUGGACCCGCGGGGCAUUAGCUAGUGGGUGAGGUAACGGCUCACCAAGGCGACGAUGCAUAGCCGGCCUGAGAGGAUGAUCUGCCACACUGGGACUGAGACACGGCCCAGACUCCUACGGGAGGCAGCAGUAGGGAAUCUUGGGCAAUGGGCGAAAGUCUGACCGAGCAACGCCGCGGGAGUGAAGAAGGUUUUCGGAUCGUAAAACUCUGUUGUUAGAGAAGCGGUAUCUAACCAGAAAGCCACGGCUAACUACGUGCCAGCAGCCGCGGUAAUUC